AGGGAGACAACCGCAGCCACACCCUGGCACCUGCCACCACCUCUGAAGUUACUACAUUGCCGGUACCCCGGAGACUCGGGGGUUAAGAGAAUGAUUGCUUACUGUACAUGGAUUCAAUUCCAGCAGUUGCAGCCAGGCUACAGUCCAGAGGUGUGCAAACGUGAACAACUUACAGAAGCAUAUUAUAAGC